rnacentral:sRNA from 1 species
UAGUUUACCGGGUCGUGUAGGAUGAGAACCCUAAAGGUUCGAGCCGAGCGAAGCGAGACGACAACGCGCAGCGUUGCCCGCAGGGUGAGGCCAAAGGCCGAAUCAAUCCUGCACGACCCACCC